AGUCCCGCAACGAGCGCAACCCUUGUCCUUAGUUGCCAGCCUUAAGUUGGGCACUCUAAGGAGACUGCCGGUGACAAACCGGAGGAAGUGGGGACGACGUCAAGUCAUCAUGGCCCUUACGUGUAGGGCUACACACGUGCUACAAUGGCAUUUACAGAGGGAAGCGAGACAGUGAUGUGGAGCGGACCCCUUAAAGAAUGUCGUAGUCCGGAUUGGAGUCUGCAACUCGACUCCAUGAAGUCGGAAUCGCUAGUAAUCGCGCAUCAGCUAUGGCGCGGUGAAUACGUUCCCGGGCCUUGU
rnacentral:rRNA from 1 species